GAUCCUCUCUGUUGUGAUUCAUCCCCCCGGGGCCCUACAGUUUCUCCUUCCUGACUCUUACAUUUCUUUGGAUGGCAUCAUUAUUAGACGGGGUUUCACCAUGUUGGCCAGGCUGGUCUUGAACCCUGGACCUUGUGAUCCACCCGCCUCGGCCUCCAAAAGUGCUAGGAUUACAGGCAUGAGCCACCGUGCCUGGCCCAGAGAGUCUUAAAUACCUGUCUCCUCCCAUAGUUAGGUGCCAAGCACUGUGGAUUCUGCCUCUCAGUGUCCAGACACCCAUUUUCCUUCCCACUGUUCCUUCCCCAUGGAGAAGCCUGUGGCUGGCUGACAGCAGAGAGAGAUGCUCAACUUGGAGAAGGUGUUACCUGGGCCAGGUGGGGAAGGUUUGUUUGCAGAGCAAAGAAGUGAAGCCUAUUCAACGUGAAAAAGAUGAGGAUGAAGACCUUUAUUAUGAUCCACUUCCAAGUAAUGAACACACUGGAGAAAGUCAGACAGUCAAAACAAUGUCCCAGACUCCGUGAAGUUCCUGGGUAGAGAAGGAGACAGACAUAUACCAUACCUAAUAAUUGGAUGUCCGAGAGAAUGAGAGAAUGGCAGAAAGAACUUUAGAGCAUGGGUAUGAUGGCUAGAGCUUGAGCAGCCAUUGUGGACAUCAGAUGAACUUGAAAGUGAAAACUAUGAGCUGAAUACGACAAAGC
rnacentral:lncRNA from 1 species